rnacentral:rRNA from 1 species
GAUGAACGCUGGCGGCGUGCCUAAUACAUGCAAGUCGAGCGAACAGACGAGGAGCUUGCUCCUCUGACGUUAGCGGCGGACGGGUGAGUAACACGUGGAUAACCUACCUAUAAGACUGGGAUAACUUCGGGAAACCGGAGCUAAUACCGGAUAAUAUAUUGAACCGCAUGGUUCAAUAGUGAAAGACGGUUUUGCUGUCACUUAUAGAUGGAUCCGCGCCGCAUUAGCUAGUUGGUAAGGUAACGGCUUACCAAGGCGACGAUGCGGAGCCGACCUGAGAGGCUGAUCGGCCACACUGGCACUGAGCCACGGUCCAGACUCCUACGGGAGGCAGCAGUAGGGAAUCUUCCGCAAUGGGCGAAAGCCUGACGGAGCACCGCCGCGUGAGUGAUGAAGGUCUUCGGAUCGUAAAACUCUGUUAUUAGGGAAGAACAAAUGUGUAAGUAACUAUGCACGUCUUGACGGUACCUAAUCAGAAAGCCACGGCUAACUACGUG